rnacentral:lncRNA from 1 species
AAUUUAAUAUUUAAAAUUAAAUUUAAAUUUAAAUAAUUGAAUUUAAAAUUAAAAUUAAAAAUUGAGGUUUGAGUCUAAAAUUAGAAUCAGCUUUUAAGAUGCAGCUUUUUUCUAUUUAUAAUUCUGGAGCUUCAAAAUCAGUUUUCUGAUUCUAAAAGGUAAAAUCAGAUUUUAAAAGUGAGGUUGCCAAACGCUCUAUUGAGUCGAAAAUCACUUUUGAAACUGAAAGUGCAUUUUAAAAGUUACGCCAAAUACCCCUAGAUUUUAAAAAACUGGAUUAAAAAAAAGCAU